rnacentral:lncRNA from 1 species
UCUUGCUAUUGUGGAAUACUGUGCAAUUGAAAAUAUUUGCUAUUGCACAAUACUGUGCAAUUGAAGAUUUCUUGCUAUUGCACAAUACUGUGCAAUUGAAGAUUUCUUGCUAUUGCUGAAUACUGUGCAAUUGAAAAAUUUCUUGCUAUUGCACAAUACUUAAUAUAAUAAUUUUGGAUCCUGAUUUGGACCAACUUGAAAACUGGGCCCAUAAUCAAAAAUCUAAGUACAUGUUUAGAUUCAGCAUAUCACAGAGGCCCAAUAAUUCAAUUUUUGUUAAAAUCAAACUUAGUUUAAUUUUGGACCCUUUGGACGUUAAUGUAAACCAAUUUUAAAACGGGACCAAAAAUUAAGAAUCUACAUACACAGUUAGAUUUGGCAUAUCAAAGAACCCCAAUUAUUCAAUUUUUUGAUGAAAUCAAACAAAGUUUAAUUUUGGACCCCGAUUUGGACCAACUUGAAAACUGGGCCAAUAAUAAAAAAUCUAAGUACAUAUUUAGAUUCAGCAUAUCAAAGAACCCUAAGGAUUCAAUUUUUGUUAAAAUCAAACUAAGUUUAAUUUUGGACCCUUUGGACCUUAAUGUAGACCAAUUUGAAAACGGGACCAAAAAUUAAGAAUCUACAUACACAGUUAGAUUCAGCAUAUCAAAGAACCCCAAUUAUUCAAUUUUUGAUAAAAUCAAACAAAGUUUAAAUCUGGACCCUUUGGGCCCUUUAUUCCUAAACUGUUGGGACCAAAACUCCCAAAAUCAAUACCAACCUUCCUUUUAUGGUCAUAAACCUUGUGUUUAAAUUUCAUAGAUUUCUAUUUACUUAUACUAAAGUUAUGGUGCGAAAACCAAAAAAAAAAUGCUUAUUUGGGUCCCUUUUUGGCCCCUAAUUCCUACACUGUUGGGACCUAAACUCCCAAAAUCAAUACCAACCUUCCUUUUGUGGUCAUAAACAUUGUGUUUAAAUUUCAUUGAUUUCUAUUUACUUAAACUAAAGUUAUUGUGCGAAAACCAAGAAUAAUGCUUAUUUGGGCCCUUUUUUGGCCCCUAAUUCCUAAACUGUUGGAACCAAAACUCCCAAAAUCAAUCCCAACCUUUCUUUUGUGGUCAUAACCCUUAUGUCAAAAUUUCAUAGAUUUCUAUUUACUUAAACUAAAGUUAUUGUGCGAAAACCAAGAAAAUGCUUAUUUGGGCCCUUUUUGGCCCCUAAUUCCUAAAAUGUUGGGACUAAAACUCCCAAAAUCAAUCCCAACCUUCCUUUUGUGGUCAUAAACCUUGUGUUAAAAUUUCAUAGAUUUCUAUUCACUUUUACUAAAGUUAGAGUGCGAAAACUAAAAGUAUUCGGACGACGACGACGACGACGACGACGACGCAGACGACGACGCCAACGUGAUAGCAAUAUACGACGAAAAUUUUUUCAAAUUUUGCGGUCGUAUAAAAAUUGGGUAGAAAAGAAAUCUAUAUUUCAGGGGCAAUAACUCCUUUAAACCUACUUAAUAUUAUAUUUUGAAACAAUGGUAAAGAAAUUUUAAAAAAGUAAAAAAAAAAGGGUGCACACGCUGAAAUGUCUCGCCUUCUUUACUAAUCAUUGAUAUUAUGUUGAUAGUCCUAAAUAUAAAGCUUUAUUACAACUGUCACACAAACUUACAAAAAUGUAACAUUAACUAAUGAACCAUGAAAAUGAGGUCAAGGUCAGAUGAACCAUGCCAGGCAGGCAUAUACAGCUAACAAUUCUUCCAUACAACAAAUAUAGUUGAUAUAUUGCUUAUAGUUCAAGAAAAAGAUCAAAAUACAAAAACUUAACACUAAGCAAUGAACCGUGAAAAUGAGGUCAAGGUGAAAUAAAACCUGCGUGACUGACAUAUAGAUCAUAAAAUAUUUCCAUAUGUUCUAUUCCAAAUACAGUUGACCUAUUGCAUAUAGUAUUAGAAAAAAAGACCAAAACUCAAAAACUUACCUUUGACCACUGAACCAUGAAAAUGAGGUCAAGGUCAGAUGAUACCUGCCAGCUAGACAUGUACACCUUACAAUCAUUCCAUACACCAAAUAUAGUAGACCUAUUGCAUUAAGUAUAAGAAAAACAGACCAAAACACAAAAUCUUAACUAUAACCACUGAAAAAUGAGGUCAAGGUCAGAUGACACCUGCCAGUUGGACAUAUACACCUUACAGCCCUUCCAUACACCGAAUAUACUAGACCUAUUGCUUAAAGUAUCUGCGAUAUGGACUUGACCACCAAAACUUAACAUUGUUCACUGAUCCAUGAAAUGAGGUCGAGGUCAAGUGAAAACUGUCUGACGGGCAUGAGGACCUUGCAAGGUACGCACAUACCAAAUAUAGUUAUCCUAUUACUUAUAAUAAGAGAGAAUUUAACAUUACAAAAAAUCUUAACUUUUUUUUCAAGUAGUCACUGAAUCAUGAAAAUAUGGUCAAGGACAUUGGACAUGUCACUAACAGAAACUUCGUAACAUGAGGCAUCCAUAUACAAAGAUUGAAACAACCAGGUCUUCCACCUUCUAAAAUAUAAAGCUUUGAAGAAGUUAGCUAACGCCGCCGCCGCCGGAUCACUAUCCCUAUGUCGAGCUUUCUGCGACAAAAACCUAAACAUUUCAGCGGCAAAAACUCAAACUCAUGUAAAUGGAGACUUAUUCAAAAAUGAUGCUGGUAGAUACAUGUAGAACCACGGGCACUUGUCUCAGAAAAAUAUUUCCUUCAUACCUUCAUACAAAAAAAAUAUUCUAAGACAAGUGCCUGUGUGUAUAACUUGUUGCGUUGACCAUUUUAACCCUGUGAGGUUUUCUUUAAUGGCUAUGGUUU